AUGGGAUUGGCAGGUAAUAAAAAUGUCCCACUGCCCUUAAAAGGGACAGAAGAGGCUUAGCAGCAGCAGCAGCAGCAGCAGCAGCAGCAGCAGCAUCAUAAGCUCUAAGUAGCAUCACUGAGAUGCAGCCUCUAACUUGGUCUUUCUCAAGUUAGCAACUCCGUGUGAUGCCUUUGUGCAGAGCUAGGAGGAGGCACCCAGUAUUCCGUGCCCACAUUAUGUGAACAGGCGGGGUUUUACACAUCUCUGCAGUCCUCACCACCCGACUUGCUGCUGCUUCGCCCAUAGCUUUACCUGACUCUCAAGUCUUAGAGUUUGGGCUUUUGUUCUGGCACUUGCUUGUUUUGGGGGUGUGGAAAAUAGAGAUGGGUAAUAAGGAGGAAAUGUGCAAAAAGUGUGAGUGGGCUUACAGUAAUGCCCCUCUUUAAGGCCCAUGCUUUCUUAGAAGGCAGUGGUGCAGAUGAACUGCUACUGACAUGAUUCUGAAGAGACCAGGUGUGUCAGCACCCUAAGGUCAAAUGUUGCCCAUGUGCCCUUUGUUGGUCUGGGAGGCGGUACCACCCAUGCUGAGCAUUUUUGUGUUUAUUAGAUCUCCUCUGGGACACUGAGUUCUCCUCCUGGGGGAGAAUUAGAAAACUGCCAAGUAAACCAGUUUGAAUAAUAAUUUGAUCUGCCUUAAAGGAUCCAAAUAAGCAUACAAUUUUAUGGCCCUCUUUAAAGCGUUAACACUUGAAGUUCAUUUUGUUCAAAAUACAAAGUGAGAUUCGUCAUCGUGACUUGUACAGCACUAUGCCACCUCUGGCUCCAGACUUAUCUGAGCAUGCAUCUGCUGCCACCUGCUGAAAGGGCCGAGAGGCUCAGCACAGGCUCACACAACAGCAUCCGACUAGUGGCAUCAUUCUUGUCUGUCUGACCCUACUCUCUUAUGGGGAACAUAUGCAGUCUAUCAACAGAUAAUUUGACAUUUUUGUAGAAAACAAGCAGUGGGACUUACUUUAAAUCUGAGUUGGAGAUUAAAGUAUAAACGUUAGUUGAGAUUCAGCCUCAUUCUAUAUAUUAUCUUAUCACAGUACUCUCUAUCUGAUAAAAUGACCCAAAGUACUUUAAGACAUUAUGUAAAUUCUCUAAUUUAAAGCUUGGGGACUACCCAAAUAUAAAAGUGUCAGUUCUUUGAGUUUUAUCAUUUGCACUUGAAUGAUUCCUGGGGGAGUAUCGGCAGACACCGUGGAAAGGGCUGCUGAAGAGCAACCAUAUCCACACCAGCGCAGAGGCCCAGCUCACUGUGGGUUUUGUUUCAUCUCGGAAUAAGAAUUACUACUCUGUUUAUUUAUCCACUUCCUUUAUCGCCAUCCCCAAAAGACAGGGUUGCAAUAUAUAGCCCUGGCUGUCUUUGAAUUCUCUAUGUAGAUCAGGCUGGCCUCAAAUUGACAAGAGAUCCGCCUGCCUCUGCAUCCCAAGUGCUAGGAUUAAAGGCAUGUGCCACCACUCCUUUUCUUGCUUAUUUUGUCUUUAUGCCUUUUAUUCAUGCCUUGGCAGUUCAUUCAAUUGUAGUGUUCAUUCCUAAUAUCACUGUUGACUUCACAUUAAUAUUUUGAUUUGGGGGCUGGCUAGAUGACUCAUCGAGUAAAAGCAUUUGCUGCCAAAUCUAAGAACUUGAGCUCAAACUCUGGAAGCCAUGUGAUGGAAGGAGAGAACCAACUCACUGGUUGUCUCUGACCUCUGACCUCUACAUGUGUCAUGACCCCUGGCCCAAAUAAGAAAAUGUAAAAUUUUAAAUGUAAGUAUUUUGAAUGUUGGUUAUUACAGAGUUCCUGUUGAUUUGUAUCUGUCAUGCAUAUUAAAUGGGAGGCAGCACCGAGGUUCUGUGCUGUCCACUGUGGAUUUUGCAUCUUGUCAGAUACCCACGGGCUGUAGUGCUGUCUCCAUUUGACAGCAUGGUUGGCUGGUUGGUCUGUUGAAGGAAAGAGAGAAUAAGGAGUGUUUUGUGUCAUGAGGGCCAUAUCAAAUAUGGCUUUUCCUUUGUGCAGCAGCCUCUAAUUUAAUGCAUAUCUGUGUGAACAGCAGUGAGGAACUUUAUAUGUUCUUCAAGUCAUGCUUACUUGUAAAUGGAAGCUGAGACCUGUUUAAAAAAAAGCAGCAUAAAAUAUAUUUUUUAAUGGCUUUUCUUUUCUGACUUAACUGUACAUAGAAAAUUUCCUCAUUAGAGAUUCUUAUUUUUGUUUAAGAUUUAUUUAUUUAUUUCAUGUAUGUGAGGACACCAUCACUGUCUUCAGACACACCAGAAGAGGACAUCGGAUCUCAUUACAGAUGGUUGUGAGCCACCUUAUGGUUGCUGGGAAUUGAACUCAGGACCUCUGGAAGAGCAGUCAGUGCUCUUAACUGCUGAGCCAUCUCUCCAGCCCUAGAGAUUCUUUUUUAAAAGAUUAUGUUGUAUGUGUGCAUGCAUGCAUGCGCAUGUGUACACACGUGCGUAUGGAGUUCUGAGAAUCUGAACUCAGGUCCUCAGGAUUUCAAAAGGAAGAGCAUGUUUACUUGCUGAACCAGUUCCUCACCGUUGAGGAGCAGAUAAGCUAAGAAAUAUGUCCAUUAGGCACAACAGAGGUCUGUUUGCCUAGGCCUCUUCUCUCCUCUUCUCUGGGGUACUCUGAAUACCAGAGUCUGUAUUGACUACAGUAAGGCUCAUCUUCCUGUCCUCUAGCUAUUUAGGAGCCACUUUGGCUACUGGGUCCUUGAAAUACCUACAGUAUUGGUAGGAAAAUGGACGUAACCUUGAAGUUCUGGUCUGGGUUAUUCUCCAUCAGGUACAUCACAAGGCAGCCUAGUUCCUCUAGCAAAGAUGAACUGGAGAGAUGGUUCAGCAGUUAAGAGCACUUGCUGCUUUUGCAGAAGGCCUGGAUUCAGUUCUCUGCACCCAUGUGGCUGCUGUAAGUCCAGUUCCAGAGGAGCCCUCUUCUGACCUUCAUAGAAACCAGGCAUUCAUAUGUUAGCACAUAUAUGUAAACACUCAGGCCUGUGUGUGGUUUAUACUGUGGAUCUUUUAGACUUAUGAUGUCUAUGCUUCUCUACUGUUAAAAGGAUUGGCCCUGGAUGUCAUUGAAUUGCCCAAUUCCUUCCUGAAUGGGAGCUAUUGUGUGCUCCAGAAAGCUGGAAAUCAAAACCCAUUCCAAGAGCCAGUGAUGUGUCUAUUCUGGGACCCUAGAAGGGCGGAGCAAAUAGGAAAGUUGGGUAUGGGCAUAUUAACCCCAAAGGCCUGCAGCCAUCUCUGAGUAGGAGGGAAGCUGUGCACAAGGCCUUCCCAGUAGUGGAGACCCAGCUCAGCCUUUACCUUUGUACCCUAACUUGAUUUUCCAGAGAUCCCACUUUUUGAUAAAUGAUAAAACACCUUUCCAGGAUGAGGAUAGACUUUAAAGUUUUAAGGAGAGUCUCACAGAAACC
rnacentral:lncRNA from 1 species